rnacentral:misc_RNA from 1 species
CAACCAUCAAGCCCUAGGCUUGCGUUGGAGCCCUGCGGCCGCCGCAGCCUCCUAAAACCAGUGGCGGGCUCGCUAUCACACCGAGUGCAGUAGUUUACUCUUCGCUCAGGGCGUGUGGCGGGUGCUGGCCGUAAAACCCCCUACUUCUUAA